rnacentral:rRNA from 1 species
UACGAAGGGGGCUAGCGUUGCUCGGAAUCACUGGGCGUAAAGCGCACGUAGGCGGAUUGCUAAGUCAGGGGUGAAAUCCUGGAGCUCAACUCCAGAACUGCCUUUGAUACUGAGGAUCUUGAGUUCGGGAGAGGUGAGUGGAACUGCGAGUGUAGAGGUGAAAUUCGUAGAUAUUCGCAAGAACACCAGUGGCGAAGGCGGCUCACUGGCCCGGAACUGACGCUGAGACGCGAAAGCGUGGGGAGCAAACAGG